rnacentral:lncRNA from 1 species
GAAAAGUCUCCACUCAAUCUCAAAUCUCUCCUACCCUAACCCUCAAAGGUUCAAUUUGUGUGUUCAAGCUGAGUCUGCUUCUAGUCUAAAUCUUCUACGGUAUUUUUGGUGGCCGGCUAAAAUUGAAGUAUGACGCCGUGUUUAACCACGUGGGUUUUAAAAGAAGAGUGAAACGUUCACUAGUGGAGAUGGUUUUAGGAAUUGUAUCCUUAAAAUGGAGGAACGUGAGAGAGUCAAGUGACGUGUUUUUUCUCUGGACUCUGAGUCUCCAUUCGGCAAUCAUCUUCAUUCUUCACCAAAAGAAUUUUCUCUAUUCCCUAUACCACGAUUCAUAUUUGCCGUUAAUCUCUCGUCGAAAAUCUGAAGUACUCGUUCAUUUUUUCGUCAAUCUUUUUUCGAGACUCGAAUUCAAGCUAAGUUUUAAAAGUGGCCAACCAGGCUAUCGACUUGAACGUGCGGAUUGAGGAAGCACGGGUAAAACUUUCGCCAGAGAAGUUAAAGGCAGAGACAUAUUCCUGUUGUCUGUUGAGGUAAUUUUGACUUCAUCUCUUUCCUGUAUAGCAGUUUUUAGAAGUUGAAUAAUUGAUUUAAUUGCUUCAUGAUUCACAUAUUCCUUAUUGGAUCCUCUAAAUUAUUUUAAAGUAUUGGAUCCUGUAAAUUGUCAGAUGUGUUUAUUCUGUUUAUUUAUCUGAUUUCUUCUUAUUAACUAAUUGCUACUAUGCAAAAAAGUACAGAAUAAUGCACUGAUCAAUGAUCAUAAGUAAUAUUCUUUGUGCCUAAAUACUUAUUUAUCAUUUACGGGAUCCAAUACUUUUAUUUUAAUGUAAAUUUAAAUCUUAGAGUUGGUGGAAGAUCUUAAGUUUUUAUACUUAUUGGGUUUGGUUUAUUCUAUAGGACUUGAUCAAUUGUUUUCUUUUUGAUAUCAAUUGAAUCUCAAUUCUCUAGUAACUAAUAUCUAUAUGAAGUGAUAAUUUUACCCAAAUCCUUUAUCUUUUAUCAAAAACUACAAUCAUAUAGAUAGUAUCCUCCACUAAAAUGAAUUCCAAUGGAUAUAUAGUUAUCUCUUGGGAAGCUUAUUUUUCUUAAUUUAUUUAUAGUAAAAUAAAGUUAAGUUGACAUGUAUGCAUAAAAAUAUUUAUCUUGUUGUUAUAAGGCUGUUUGUUCAUACAAAUGUAACUAUUUGUAUAUAUCCUCUGUAGGACGAAGUUGGUUUUGCAAAAUUAGUUAAUCAAUUGAUUAACAAGUCAAUUGUUUUUCCUUUCUGGUAUGGUCUAUUGACUAUGGCAGGCUGUGAGGGAACUAUAUGAGAUUGUUCCAACUCAUAAAUGGAAAGACGGAGAAAACAGAAUCAACAAAAUAGUUUUUAUAGGUAUGCAUUCGUAAUUGCUUAUGCGAUUUCCAAAUUUUAGAUGAAUGACAAACUUUAGAUAGGUGUUUUCUUGUUUGUAGGUGGAUUGUUAAAUGAAGAGCUAUCAACCUGGUCAUAUGAUAAAAAAGGAAAGAGUAAACUAUUAUAUUGGUUGUAAUCUUAUUUUUUCCCUCUUUCUCGAGUUUAAGCAAUCAUGGAUAUUAAAAUUUAAAAAAAAAAAAUUAUAUUGGUUGUUCUUAUUCACUUUUAUCCAAAAUCGAAAACAUUUUGCUUAUAAAAUUGUGCAAUUAGUUUAUCUUAAUUUACAUUUGAUCAGGUCUUUGUUUUAUUUUUUAUUUUUUUGAUUUUCUUGGUUGUGAAAGUUCUUGUUAUCAUAUUCUGAUUUCUCACUGCUUGCCUGUGGAUUUUGUUUAUGUAUAACGUAACGUAACAUUGUGACAAGGAAGAUGCUUUUUGAUGGGAAGCUAGGCAUUGCUGGUGGGCAGGAGACUCGCAAGGACUUUGAUUUGUUUGUGAUUGGAGCUAGCGGUGGUGAAGUUUGUUCCUCACAAUUUCCUAGUCUAGAACUCAUUUUGUUUGUGAUGGGUUGUAACAACUAAAUAUUGGUUGCUAAUGUUGCAUCUUUUCCGACCAAAAAUUGGUAGUUAGAUAUUGAUUAAUUUUUUACUAUCGUCUUACCGACCAUCAUUUGGUCCCAAGAGAAUACUUAUUAACCAACUUUUUACCUCAAAUCGAGC